rnacentral:rRNA from 1 species
CCUACGGGUGGCAGCAGUGGGGAAUAUUGCACAAUGGGGGAAACUCUGAUGCAGCGACGCCGCGUGCGUGAAGAAGUAUUUCGGUAUGUAAAGCUCUAUCAGCAGGGAAGAAAUAAAGUCCUUCGGACUUUGGACGGUACCUGACUAAGAAGCCCCGGCUAACUACGUGCCAGCAGCCGCGGUAAUACGGAGGGGGCAAGCGUUAUCCGGAUUUACUGGGUGUAAAGGGAGCGUAGACGGCAGGGCAAGUCUGGAGUGAAAUCCCAUGGCUUAACCAUGGAACUGCUUUGGAAACUGUGCGGCUGGAGUGCAGGUGAGGUAAGCGGAAUUCAUAGUGUAGCGGUGAAAUGCGUAGAGAUUAGAAGGAACACCAGUGGCGAAGGCGACUUACUGGACUGUAACUGACGUUGAGGCUCGAAAGCGUGGGGAGCAAACAGGAUUAGAUACCCGAGUAGUC